rnacentral:rRNA from 1 species
CCUACGGGAGGCAGCAGUAGGGAAUCUUCCGCAAUGGACGAAAGUCUGACGGAGCAACGCCGCGUGAACGAUGAAGGCCUUCGGGUCGUAAAGUUCUGUUGUUAGGGAAGAACAAGUGCUAGUUAAAUAAGCUGGCACCUUGACGGUACCUAACCAGAAAGCCACGGCUAACUACGUGCCAGCAGCCGCGGUAAUACGUAGGUGGCAAGCGUUGUCCGGAAUUAUUGGGCGUAAAGCGCGCGCAGGCGGUUUCUUAAGUCUGAUGUGAAAGCCCCCGGCUCAACCGGGGAGGGUCAUUGGAAACUGGGAAACUUGAGUGCAGAAGAGGAAAGUGGAAUUCCAAGUGUAGCGGUGAAAUGCGUAGAGAUUUGGAGGAACACCAGUGGCGAAGGCGACUUUCUGGUCUGUAACUGACGCUGAGGCGCGAAAGCGUGGGGAGCAAACAGGAUUAGAUACCCUGGUAGUCCACGCUAGUAAACGAUGAGUGCUAAGUGUUAGAGGGUUUCCGCCCUUUAGUGCUAGAAGUUAACGCUAUUAAGCACUCCGCCUGGGGAGUACGGUCGCAAGACUAGAAACUACAAAUGAAUUGACGG